rnacentral:lncRNA from 1 species
AUUGGAUUUCGGACUUGCAUGGGGCCUUUAACCUCUUUGUUUUAGCCAAUUUCUCUCAUUUGAAAUAGGUGUAUUUACUCUAUGCCUGUACCCCCAACUGUAUCUAGGAAAUAAUUAACUUGCUUUUGAUUUUACAGGCUCACAGGUGGAAGGGAUUUGCCCUGUCUCAGAUGACACUUUGGACUAGGACUUUUGGGUUAAUGCUGGAAUGAGUGAAGACUUUGGGAGACUGUUGAAAAGGCAUGGUUGUGUUUUGAAAUACUCAACCUGGAACCUAAGAGGAUGGCAGUGGAGUUUUACUGCCCCUACAGUUUCUGCCAAUGAAGAUGGGAUUCUUAAAGGCUGUGAUGCCCUACUCCCUCUGAACCCUGCAAAUGGGAUCCUACAAGACCCGACGAAAGCCAGCAGAAAGUAGAAAUUCUUGUGGAAGUCCACUCUCCUGCAGGAGCUGUGUUUUGUGACCAGUGAGGAGAUUGUUUCUGGUGUCCAUCGGCAAGGGACUUCAAGUUGUAAGAUUUGCAUCAGCUGACUAGCCGGCUGGAUAGAAAUCCAAAACACAAAAUGUCUCUUGUUCUGAUUGUUCCAACUUUCAAGGAAGUUUAUCUUAAUUGCCCCAAUCUUCAUUGCCUUGUUAGCAAUUAGGAUUUUUACUUUCUUAGGCUAACUUUGGAAGAAUCUAUAGAUCUUCAGGGAGACUGUGUCUUUAGGACCCUCUUUAGGCACGCUUCGUGCAUCCAUGGUUAAGCCACAAAAGACUUAUUAGUUUUAAGCCAUAAAAAUGACGUAUUGGUUUUGAGUCACAACUGAAGUAGGUAAACCUCUGAAAAUUUGGACUUUUGUAUCUAAAAGUAUUUUUUAAAGAGCUUUCAUCCUAAGCAACUGUCUUAUUGGUCGUAUGAGAAUAUUUAACCUUAAAAAAAGAAAAUAAGCACUUAUAAAAAUUAAGUGUUAUUUCAGAAAAAUCAAAACUAAUUUAAAUGUUACUCAAGUUAUUCAAAUGAUCUAGGAAAAUCAUUGGUAAAUAAA